AUCCAAAAAAGGAAGAAGAUUCAGGAGGAUUCUGAUUCAGAAUCUGAAUCGAAUGAUGAGUAAUGUUCUGAAAUUAUUAUUGCUUUCCUUUCAGUUUAUUAUCAAAAUUUCAUCUAUUAAUAGAGCAUCUCUUAUUAACUUUCAGAAGCAAAGAAUCAUCACCAGUAGAGAAGCAAAAAACAAAGAAAAAGACUAAGAGAACACCCCAAAAGACACAAUCGAAAAAGAAAAAGAUCUGAAAUUAGAACCGAAGAAUUAGAAGAAAUCUUAAGGGAAUCUAGGAAGAAGCAAAACAAUGAAAAAUCUGCUGCACAGGGGUAGAAGGAAGCUGACCUGCGAUCAACAGAAGGUCACUAUGACUCAUCUGAAACAAUACCGGAGGUAAACUUAGGUAGUGAUGAUCCUUUGUCUCAAGGACACACAGAUCAAAGUAGUGUAAACAAACCGGCGGAGAGCAUAAAAAAAGCCCUUUAAUGUUUUAUUCGAGAAAAAAAGGCAGGAAAAAAAAGCCAAAACUGGAACUAUGUUGAGUCUAGUUGAAGAGUCGUCCAAUGAGCCAGGUGAAGAGAACAUGAUGGUUGUGCGGAUAGAGACACAGUCAGAAACCGAAGCGCUUUCAAUAGUUCCGAUUCAAGUUUGUCUACCACUGUCCCAAACAACCACUGUGCCAGAAAUUGAACCAACCCUGUGCCAGAAAUUGAACCAACCCCUGCAAAGUCUCCAACUGAAAAAAUUAAUGAAGAAACUGCAAAAA